rnacentral:ncRNA from 1 species
ACAGUACAAACUGAGCAGGCGGUGGAGCAAUCCAUGUGGCCGGGUCACAUCCGUGACAACAGAUGUGUUACAUCUGUGGGACAGU